UACGUAGGGUGCAAGCGUUGUCCGGAAUUACUGGGCGUAAAGGGCGCGUAGGCGGCCGCCUAAGUCAGACGUGAAAUCCCUCGGCUUAACCGGGGAACUGCAUCUGAUACUGGAUGGCUUGAGUUCGGGAGAGGGAUGCGGAAUUCCAGGUGUAGCGGUGAAAUGCGUAGAUAUCUGGAGGAACACCGGUGGCGAAGGCGGCAUCCUGGACCGACACUGACGCUGAGGAGCGAAAGCCAGGGGAGCAAACGGG
rnacentral:rRNA from 1 species